rnacentral:lncRNA from 1 species
ACUAAGCUGGCUUAUUCUUAGUACAUGUACUGUGCUGGUCUGUGUUAUAGUACUAGCACUUACAUGUGCUAGCAAUGAGCUGCAAAGUUACAACACAUGCAAAAGAAGAAAACUGCUCUUCAAUAUUUUCUAUUUUUUUUUUUUAAAGACAGAAGUCAAUAAGCUGUCUAAUUCUUAGUACAUGUACUGUGCUGGUCUGUGUUAUAGUACUAGCACUUACAUGUGCUUGGGAUAAGGUGCUUACUUGAAGUUCUUGCAAAAUAUAGCUGCUAUUUUAUAUUUUUCCUUUUCAAUGUUUUAAUGAGAGACUUAAGUUACAAAGCUGUCUUAUUCUUAGUACAUGUACUGUGCUGGUCUGCAAUGAGCUGCAAACUUACACCACAUACAUGUGUACACAAGAAAUAAACUGCUCUUCAAUAUUUUCUUUU